rnacentral:tRNA from 1 species
UCCCUGAUAGUCCAAUGGCUAAGACUCCACACUUCCACUGCAGGGGGCUGGGUUCAAUCCCUGGUCGGGGAA